rnacentral:lncRNA from 1 species
CGAGACCACAGAAUUCACUGUGUCCUUAAGGAAUUUAACUCCCUCACUGUACCCGAGGUUGUGGAUUAUUUCCUCCCAGGAUAUAACGGAUAUACCUAUCGUAGGAGUGGCGGUACCUCAAACGCCUACGACUUCGACGAACUCAAAUUCGGGAACGAAAUCACACUAUGACUCGAUAUGUUUCAGUUUGCAGAAAAGAAUGAAGAAUUUUUAAUGCACGAAUAUUUUCUUUUUCUUUUCAGUACUCGAAAAUGAGGCAUUGCCUCAGUUUAUAUAGCCUCGAAUUGUGACUGUUCGGAAAGGCUUGGUGCCUGUUCGGGAAAGGCCAUGCCUUUNNNN